GCAAGAAAGGGAGGUUGCAUGCAGGAAAAAGGAAGGAGGAGGGGGCAAUCGGCAACCCACCGCCCCCGGUGCACUAGAUGCGAGGCAAGCAAGAUGAAAACAGAUCCCUUGCUGAAAAACAAGAGUGGGAAAACAGCGCCUAGCAAUCCCAUGAGCCCUUACAAUGACUGUUGAUGCCUGCGGAGAAUUGGAGUUUGAGAAAGGUUUGGAGGGAGCACUUGUGGUAGAGUUUGCCACCUUUCCUGCUGGCCUGGCAUUUUGUUUAAUAAAGAAGGACCAGGCCUGCAAACUGAUCUGAGAAUCCAAUUCACAGCCAUAGCCAGAGGCAAGUAUGUAGGCAAAUGCAGGCUCCAACCUCCCUAUACUCAUCAGUAGGUGGACUGUUGCGCUCUGCUUCUGAAACAGUUUGAGAAAAAGCAGUCCUAUAGAGAGUGAAGUCUUGCCCUCUUUUCAGCUGCUCUGAAGACCUCAGCACUUGUGGACUCUGGAAAGAUCGAUCAACCAGGCAGGAAAGGAUGACAGACCCUCCAAGUGUCCCUUUUUUCCAGGGACAUUCCUGAUUUAGAGAAGCCAUCCCAGU